rnacentral:rRNA from 1 species
UAGGGAAUAUUGCUCAAUGGGCGAAAGCCUGAAGCAGCAACGCCGCGUGUGCGAUGAAGGCCUUCGGGUCGUAAAGCACUUUUCUGAGAGAUGAGAAAGGACAGUAUCUCAGGAAUAAGUCUCGGCUAACUACGUGCCAGCAGCCGCGGUAAAACGUAGGAGGCAAGCGUUAUCCGGAUUCACUGGGCGUAAAGCGCGUGCAGGCGGUUCGGUAAGUUGGGCGUGAAAUCUCCUGGCUUAACUAGGAGAGGUCGUCCAAUACUACCGGGCUUGAGAGUGGUAGAGGAAGAUGGAAUUCCCGGUGUAGUGGUGAAAUGCGUAGAUAUCGGGAGGAACACCAGUGGCGAAAGCGAUCUUCUGGACCAUUUCCGACGCUCAGACGCGAAACUAGGGUAGUAAACGGAUUAGAGACCCGGUAAUCCUAGCCGUAAACGACUGUAGACUUGGCGUCGGUGGCUUAAACACCAUCGGUGCCGCAGC